GAACGCUGGCGGCGUGCCUAAUACAUGCAAGUCGAACGGUCUUUCUAUGGAAGCUUGCUCCACUGAGAAGAUAGUGGCGAACGGGUGAGUAACAACGUGGGGUAACCUGCCCAUAAGAGGGGGGAUAACAUCCGGAAACGGGUGCUAAUACCGCAUAGUUUCUUGAUCGCAUGAUCGGGAAAGGAAAGACGGCCUUUGUGCUGUCGCUUAUGGAUGGACCCGCGGCGUAUUAGUUAGUUGGUGAGGUAACGGCUCACCAAGACGAUGAUACGUAGCCGACCUGAGAGGGUGAUCGGCCACAUUGGGACUGAGACACGGCCCAAACUCCUACGGGAGGCAGCAGUAGGGAAUCUUCCGCAAUGGACGAAAGUCUGACGGAGCAACGCCGCGUGAGUGAAGAAAAGGUUUUCGGAUCGUAAAACUCUGUUGUCAGAGAAGAACAAGUUGGAGAGUAACUGCUCCAGCCUUGACGGUAUCUGACCAGAAAGCCACGGCUAACUACGUGCCAGCCGCUGC
rnacentral:rRNA from 1 species